UUUUACUUAUUUCUUGCUUGCUUUCCAAGAGAAUCUUCAAUAAUCGGCGUCUUAAUGGAAAAGGUAGAAGGAAACUAUUCGUUGAGGCUUUAAAUCUAAGUUUAUCGCGGGAUUUUUAACGACAUUCACCGGUUUCGUAAAGCGGUCGUUUGUUUUAGCGCAAUGCGGAAGUGUCGUGUAGAUGCAGUUUUUUGGCUAAAAAGUUGACGAAUUCAUCGUCUCACUACGUCUGUCAUUUGUUUUACGUUUGCCAUCAGUUUUAGGUAGUAACUGUUAGCUGUCGAGAGUACCGGAACAGACUGUGAAGUAUUUCUAUAGAUCUAAAUAUGGUUCGUAAAAAAGGACAGUUUGUCUGGCAUUCGGAAUUCCUACACUAGUGAUCCAUGAGUGGACUUUAUCCAGUUUCCAGAAUGGCAGGAAGGAAGGACUUAUUGAAUUGGACUACUUGUCAAGUCAGCUUACAAAAGUCAAAAAUUUAAAAGCAGCCACUCGGCGACAGUAAGCUUGUCUACAUUUUCCGUAAAAUUUCCAAAAUGAAUACUGGAAAAAAACAACAUGGAAAUACAUACGACAUCAACACAAAAUAGCACAGCACCAGAAUUAAUGCGGAAGUUGUCAUGAGUGGUGUGGCAUUGUCCCUGUUCAUUUAUGGUUUACAGAUUCCAAAAGUGAACCAGAUAUGAGUAGAGUACAGUUUGAGAAAUGUCUUGGUCGAACAGAUACUUAGGAAAUAAUAAAAAGCAGAACAGACCACAUUUCUCCUUAUAACUGGUAAAGUUCCAAGUAAGGGCGAGUACAAUAAUGCAGCCCCAGUGAGAGUUUGUGAUGAGGUGUCAACUGUAAAUGUGUGGUCGUUAAAUGAUGUGCAGUCAGAUUGACAAGUAUUUGAAGUAACAUUAAUUUAUAAAUUAUCAAUUCUGAGAGAAAUUUUUGCUGAGUUUUGUGCAGGAUACUCUUAAAAAAUACGUGAACCAGAAUUUUAUAUUAUAAGUACAAUGCCAGAUGUACUCCAGACUUCACACAUAUGUUGAUGUUUAUACAUAUGUGGUGAUUAAUUUGUCAAGUGAAGAAAUUUUAUGAAUAAUGUUACUGGGUGACAGAACAGAAGUACAAAGUCAAUUACAGAGGUCGACAACACUGAGUUUAGGAUACAGAAAAAAUCCGGUGAUUCUGACGAAACAACAUACAUAGAAAGAUUAUACUAGUAAAAUGAAAACUUUUAGUGUAUGGAAAAGUUUGGAAACAGGUUUACCAUUGACAGAAGAGACAGUAUUUACAGACUGGUCUACACUUAUUUUGAUUUGACUUUUAAGCGGUGAUUCCUCCAGUAAACAGCUAGUGAUCUGAGAGAAUUGUGUUCAUUAUAUCAUACAGGUUUAGUUUGAGUGAUUUCAAUGAAGUACAAAUGAACAAAAAAGAAUCACUAUCAGCCAAGAUGAUGUGCUAUUGUAAAAGAUAGAAAGAAAAUUCACAAGUCACAUUAACUUGGUAAAAGGGAUUUUAACAGAAUUAAACUAGUUUGUGAAGGAUUCUGCAUGCUGUAUCAAAUAGCUAUAAUGUAUUUUGUAGUUCUUUGGGUGUAUCUUCUAUCUAUCUCUUUUCAAACUAAAUUUUAUUUCUUAAAUCUAUUGAAAUUGCCAUCAAAAUAAAAAUUUCUUUUAAAAACAAUAUAUUUAACAAUUAAAAGGUAUAUUCAACAAGCCAGCACUUUGUUACUAAUCUUAGUCAGUGGAAUUUAUUUUUAGACUUGUCCUUUUUUUUGAUUCAGUUUCUAGAUCCCCAUUUAUUAGUUACUGUACACAUUUUGGGAUUCCAGCAAUUUUCCACAUCCUCAUUACAAGGUAGAAUUGAUUUUUCAUUGGUCCAGUAGUUAACGAGUUUUAGCAUAAAGUAAAACUGUUCUAUUAAUAGAUUUUCAGAAAAUCUGUUUGAGUUAUUUAUACAUGUACCAGGUAUACAAAUUCAUGUACUUUUAUUUGAUUUGAACAUUACUGUUUACUAUUAUCCUGAACAAAUUACAGGUUUUCUUUGCUUUAUAUUAGAGAAUUUUGGUAAAUUUCAUUGAUGAAAGGACCAAGGUACUUUUCUCCAAUAGUCAAUUAAUAGAAAUUUUCAAAUAUAAUAUCUUGUGCAGCGAAUUAAAAAGAAAUUUAUUUAUUUCAGUACUAGUCAGUUCUGAAAUUGAAAGAUACUUUGAAUAUUUAAUAUAGGAAGAAUUAUUUAAGGUAGCUCAACACAACUUCUGGACAUAAUUUAAAGUGAUUUAUUAUCAUAUAUGAUAUAAGAUAAUUUUCAUUGAGAGUCCUACAUACCAGAACAUUUUUGAGUGACAAUUAGAAAUAUUUUAGAUUACUUGGGGUGGUUAACUACCUGUUAGAAAUAUUUAAGGUGAUUAACCAUCUGUUAGAAAAUGAUAAUACGGUACGGUACUGGGACUUGUUUUUGUAGGCAAUUAUCACAACAUGAAAUUUUAUAGGUGCUGAAUUGAAGGUCAUUUCCUCAUGGUUAUUGUCGUGUAGUUUAUAACUCCCCCGCCACAAGUGGUGGGGGUUAUAGGAAUGGUCUCUGUCCAUCCUUCCCUACUUCCGUCCUUCCAUCUUCCGUCCUUCCGUAACAUUUUGUGUCUACUCUGUAUAUCCUUAACCCCUUGAACAUGUUGAAGGAUUUUCAUAAAACUUGGUUCAAAUGAUCACCUCAUCAAGACAAUGUGCAGAACCCAUGAGUCACCCAUGUUGGUUCAAGGUCAAGGUCACAACUCAAAGCCUUCAAUUUUGUGUCUGCUCUGUAUCUCCUAAACCCCUUCAAGUGUGCUGUUAACAGACAGCUUUUGUGAUAUAUCAGGAGCACAUAAUUCCGGACAAGCUGGUCUGAUUGUACCCAAAAUCGAGUUAUUCCAAGAGCUUGUGCUCGUAUACAUUGCCAUUAAAUCUGAUCAAAAUUGUUAUGAAAAUGUUCAAACUAAAGCGUUAAAAUUGUCAAGUAUUGCAACUUUUUAUAUAAAAGGGACAGAUAACUCUGGACUUGCAACUCUGAAAAUGCCUGAAAUCUAGGUCUUGCAAGACCCUAAGGCCGGGCCGUACACAUUGUCUAUUUUAGACAAUUUUCUAAGUUUAUUCGAGAUUUCUUUAAAUAAAAAUGGUACAGUUGUAAAAAAUUGGUAAAUAUUGCUAUUUUUUACUAUAUCAGGGGCACAUUACUCUUGAUAUACUGGUCGGAUCAUCCCCAUAAUGCAACACAUUCCAGAUUAUGUAGCCAUGCAUAUUGUUUUUAUACUUUGGUGAAGAUUGUUAUAGUAAUAUUCAUGCUGGAGUGUUAACAAUGCUAUAUAAUUCAUACUUAACUUUAAAAAAGUGGGUGGGGUAAUAUUACAUCUGUUUUUUUAUGAUGAAAUGUCGAUGUAAAUGGUUUGGAACUAUUUUGUUAUUUAAAAAUAUGUUUUGCACACAUGUUCAUAUUGUUUAGGCGUUUUUUUUUCAUGAAAAUAUUUGUUGUUUUAGCUUAUUUGCCAGCAAACCCCAAUAUUCUAAAAUUUUGGUACUUUCAUGAUAAAAUACAGAAUAUCUCUCUUAUAUGUUCGGUGACCCCCAAUUUUUUUACCCUUAUUUUGAAGCAAUUUUGAGACACAAUAUAUACAAAAAUUAUUUCAAAAAUCUUAAUUGUAGAAAUAAUGUUAUGCUAUCUUUAGACUGAUACAAGUACUGAUCCCAUUGGAAAAAAGUGGGUGGGGUAAUUAUAUUGCCUUGUGAAAAUGAGUAACAGUAUUAUGUGAAAAUCAUUAAAAUUUCAUACUGACUUCAUAGCAUAUUCAAACUGAAUUGUUAGAAAUACAAUUAUUUUACAACUGAUAAAGAUAGUAAGGUUUUGAAAUGUACCCCCAAUUUUUCCAGGUUUUUCAAAUUUCACUUUUGUCUUCACAGUGUGUGUAGAAAAUGGCCGAUAUAAUGAAAAGGAGUUCGGUGACCAACCGUUUUUUUGCUUUUAUAUGAAAUAGAUACUAAAGAUCUUCAAACAUGCAAAGUAUGAAAAAAUUCUUAAUUGUAGAACAAAUUGGCCUGAAACGUAUCCAACAUCCUUAAGCCUGAUUCUAUGCUUGUCUCUGUUAAAACACUCUUACGCUAGAAUGACGUCACGUUAACGUGCGGUGACGUCAAAGCUUUUGUUGCGACCAAGAAAGUGCGCUUCUAUAUUUUAUCUACUGUUUUAGAUUAAGGGCAUAUUAGAAUCGAAAUAAUUUAUAGCAAAACCGUGUUUUAACACUAUUUAUACACUCGGGCGGUAAUACGUCCUCGUGCAAUUAUUACGCCCGACGUAUAACCGCCCAUCGUGCAUAAAUAGUGUUAAAGCACUCUUUUGCUAUAAUUUAUUUCUUAAUUUCAUUGAUUUGUUAGUAUCUUAACAGCUCGAUCUCAAGCUGGCCGCUACACAUAUUAAACAAUUCAACAGAUAAUAUAAACAUUAAAAAUGUAUUGUUAUGAUUUGCGCCAUUCGAACGUAACAACUCCCUAAACCGAAUUACAUUUUUAGGAAAUAAUCACGCCAUAAAUCGUUCCGCAAUGCUACAUAACAUAUGCAAAGUGUAUGGCUGAUGUUUGCAGUAAUAUACCAUCGAAACUAUUUCUUGUGUCACUACAUAAGAACACUGCAUGAUGUUGCAUUAUUUCUUUGUUUCACUAGUACCAUAAGUGUUUCAUCUUUGUUUUCUUUCAAAUGUUAUUGUUGCAUUGUUUAUGUAAUAGUAUGGCACGAAAUCAUGAUAUAAUAUGACAGUAAUCCAGACGCUACCAUUAAAGCUGGAAUUUAAA